rnacentral:rRNA from 1 species
CCCGCUGAACUUAAGCAUAUUAUUAAGCGGAGGAAAAGAAACUAACUAGGAUUUCCUUAGUAACUGCGAGUGAACAGGAAAUAGCUCAAACUGAAAAUCGAUAGUUUACUAUUGAAUUGUAGUCUCAUGAAGUGCAGCCUGUGAAUGUACUGAGUUAAGUCUCUUGGAAAAGAGUACCGAAGAGGGUGAAAGUCCCGUCUUUACUCAGAUGUAUUUACUUUCGGUGCAUUUUCAAAGAGUCGCGUUCCUUGGGAUUGGAGCGCUAAGUGGGUGAUAAAUUUCAUCUAAAGCUAAAUAAUAACGAGAUUCCGAUAAAAUACAAGUACCGUGAGGGAACGAUGAAAAGAACUUUGAAAAGAGAGUUAAAAGGAACUGAAAUUGCUGAAAAGGAAGUGGAGAGAUUCAAUGGUUUAGUAAAAUUUCUCAUGUGCUUGGGGUAUGUUGACCCACGAGUGUGUGGUAGGGAUUUACGAUGACACCGGAAGUGAUUAGUUAGCUUGACGAACAUUAUUGAUUUGCUCUAUUUUAGGGUCAUUUCAUUAGUGUCUUCAAGUUGAAUAAUCAAUGUAUUUCUAAUUCAAUACAUCUGUUGUUGAGUUAUAUUUUUCCGGGGAUAUUGAUUCUCUCCUUCCCGUCUUGAAACACGG